rnacentral:rRNA from 1 species
UACGUAGGGUGCAAGCGUUGUCCGGAAUUAUUGGGCGUAAAGAGCUCGUAGGCGGUCUGUUGCGUCGGCUGUGAAAACCCGGGGCUCAACCCCGGGCCUGCAGCCGAUACGGGCAGACUAGAGUUCGGCAGGGGAGACUGGAAUUCCUGGUGUAGCGGUGAAAUGCGCAGAUAUCAGGAGGAACACCGGUGGCGAAGGCAGAUCUCUGGGCCGUAACUGACGCUGAGGAGCGAAAGCGUGGGGAGCGAACAGG